GCUGAUAAAUAGACUGGUAAAUUGCUUGGAAUACCCAAAAACUUGGUUGGAAGAGACACGCAGCAUGCUGAUGAUUGUGGCAACCAUGAUAUCGACUACAACUUUCCAAGCUGCAGUUAACCCACCUGGUGGUGUUUGGCAAGAGAAUAAUACAAAUAGUAGCGCUAGAGGCACUACUUAUUGCACCCAAAAUAACAUAUGCUUGGCUGGAACUUCAGUGGCAGGCAGCGCCUUCCCCAAAGAAUUCCUCGCGUUCGUAACAUUCAAUACCAUCUCGUUUCUUGCUUCUCUCAGUGUCAACCUUUUGCUUGUUGGCUGAUUUCCCCUCCGGAAUCGCGUAAUUAUGUGGCUUUUAUCAAUGGCCAUGUGUCUCACUCUCACUUCUAUGGCGUUCACCUUUUUACUGGCUUCCCUGUUGGUGGUUCCAAAUACUGACAUCCUCGUUUCACAAGGAGUUAGAUCCCGUAAAUCCGCUGUGUUGGUUUGGAUUGCGUUGCUUCUAACCAUCGCUUUAAUCCACACCAUUCGCCUAAUCAUUUGGUUGUCAAGGAAGUUGUGGGGCAGGUUCAAGCAUAAGAUCCCAAAAAGCCUCAGGAAAGUGGUUGAUAGUUUGGUGGAUAGUUCGAGAGCACGUCACCGUACCAACAAAUUCUGAGGAGAAUAUACGCCUGUUGUUUCCUUGUGUGUUGAAGGAACUACACCGGAUUGCUAAAGUAAACUAUCUAUUUGACGAUGGUGAAUGUGUUUAACAAGAUCCAGCUGGUUGUGUUUGCCUUAAUUUGCUUUAAUUUGCUAAAGUAAACUAUCUAUUUGACGAUGGUGAGUUGUGUUUGCCUUAAUUUGCUUCUGUUAGAAUUUGUUAAGAGUGAGUCAGAAUGAUCAGUUUGUUUACUAAUCUGAAAUCUAUUUUUAUUUCCUC
rnacentral:lncRNA from 1 species